GUAAAUUUGCACCUCUGAUGUGGCUAACGCCCUGCGCCUCCGCUGACCCCGGGGAAGGGCCUGGUGCACUGGGCGUCCCCUGGGUCGCGGAGGUACAGGGAGGGGACAGCGGAUACCAGAGCGUCGCUGGGGAAGGCCGGGCCUUGCAAUUCGCAGACCGGUGCGGGCCCUCUUCCCCGAGGUCCCGGGACACAGACAUCCAGGCACACUGUGCUAGUUUCCGCGGGGUAGUUUUCGGUCUUCUCUCUUCCUUGCUUGGUUAUUACUUUGAAACCGAAAAGGCAACCACAGCUAUGCUGGACCUUUUUUUUUUUUUUUUUUUUUUUGACGGAGUUUCGCUCUUGUCGCUCAGGCUGGAGUGCAGUGGCGCGAUCUCGGCUGACUGCAACCUCCGCCUCCCGGGUUCAAGUGAUUCUCCUGCCUCAGCCUCCUGAGUAGCUGGGGUUACAGGCGCCAGCCACCACGUCCAGCUAAUUUUUUUUUUGUAUUUUUUAGUAGAGAAGGGGUUUCGCCAUUUUGGGCAGACUGGUCUCGAACUCCUGACCUCAGGUGAUCCGCCCGCCUCGGCCUCCCAAAGUGCUGGGAUUACAGGCGUGAGCCACCGCGCCCGGCCGGACUUGACCAUUUUUAAAAUGUUAUGAAUGACACAUUUAGAGACGUGCGUACACACGUGUGUUCAUAUGUUCACAUUUACCCACACACCUUGAUUUGUCCCCUGCCCCAGUCCCGCUGCAUUCCUACCUCUCCACUCUACCCCGCAGCUCCCACUAGGUGUGUUCUAGAACAGAUACAGGUUGCUAGCACCGUCCACUAGCUGUUCCCAACAUCGGUUACAAAUCUCCGCGAGGGACAAAAACAUCUGUUCAGUCAGAGACUGGGGAAGUCAAGACUGCGGGUGCCGCACUGCGGGGAUGCACAAAUCCGGAGCUGAGUCAGAGAGAGCCCCUUGCCCCCUCCCGCUGCGGUCGGCGGUGGCAAAAGAUUUUCGAGAUAGCAGGUAGUACAUGCACAUGGAGAAAAGAAAUUCAAGCAGGACAAGAGUGCACAAGCAAGAAGACCCAGACAGAGAAGUUUCCCGAGUCAUCCACAUCGCUGACGAUUUCUGACUUGGUGGUUUCUCAUCGCACCUCCUCAGCACUUCGCCCGGCGGUUUCCGGGGAGAACGGCGGCCUUCCCUGCCGGGUUCUAGGCGAGCGUAACCAGCUCUUUGUGACUUCCGAAGUGAGGCUUCCUGGUAUCAAACACUCAUUAUUGACUACCUUGAGAUCUAAUAUGGUUGGAGGUAUAUGGAGGGGGGCUCAUUUUUCUUUUCAUUUCCCGAUUCCAUUCACAGUUAACGUUACCGACGGUUAAUAAAAUGUAGCUUGUGACUGUAAUAUGGGGACGGAGAGGUCCCAAUAAAUGUCAAAAGAUAUAAGACAAAAAAGUAUCUUGCGACUGUACGCGGGACUGCAUUGCUCCCAGUUUUGGCUAUAGAUGCACUAAAAGAACCUGUUAACACACACCAAAGUGCAUCCUUAUAAUAACCUCCUCAAUCAUUUAUUAAAAGUCGUGUCAAGCAGGCCCGUAUAAUUCAUCUCUAUGCAAAUACAUCAAUGUCAGGCCAUUAGUGUAUUGCUCAGGUUUUUAUUAAAGUGCAUUCUUUUUAAUUCAGCCCCGUAAAAUACGAGCCCCAUUGCUCAAGAAUUAUAGCAACUAUUAGAGUAACAUAUGGGCAACAUGCACUCAGAAAAUAAAAACCAACAGAUAAAGUGGCAGGGUCACAUCGCAGGAGCAAACACUUAACAAAAUGGCAGUGGGGUAAUAGAUUUUUCUCCCAAGGCCUUUGGCGAAAGGGUGUCAUGGGCAUUAACACCUAAGGAAAGGCAGAGCCUGGAAGUUACUCUGCAAGGAAAGGUAGAGCCUCGAAGUUACUCUGUGCUGUCUCAAACUCAGAACCAGCCAGGACUGGCAUCUCUGGAGUUAGGAGAGGGGAGGCUUCCUGAGCUCCUCUACAUUCGGCUACCAUCUUUCUAUAAAAGGAUUUCAACAUACCCCAGAGAAGGGUGUUCUGCUUUUUCUUAAAGCAAGAAUCCCUUAAGAGAUUUCGAUGUAGGGUUUAUGGCCCAACGCUCCUCCCUCUCUCCUCUCCACUCCCCCACCUCCUUCCUCAUCUUGGCUAUCUCUCAUCCCACACUUGCCUCACUGGAAGCCCCACCCACCUCUAGUACUUUCUGGGAUCACCCUUCCCUCCCUGCCUCUGCAGGAAGGUUGAGAAGGCCCGUGGAUGUGUAGGCAAAUUUCCCUCUCAUAUGUGGAAGCCUGUGUAAAAACUUCCCAUUGAAAUCAAUCCAUAGCUAAAAAUAAAACAUAUUUUAGCUCCCAACUCAGAAGAAACUUAAAUGCCCUCUGCCUGCACCCCUCACCUGGCACUGGCACUCGGGGACGCCCAAGUUUCCCAGGUUAGAAUGCAUUGCUGCAAAUUUUGUCAAACCGGGGAAAACUCUAGCCUGAUCUGAGAGGGAUUUUGCUAUUUUAGUUACUGAGGACAGAGUGGUGGCCAGUGGGUGGUGCCCUGCAGCCCUUCAGCAGACGCCUAGGCUUGAGAUGGAAUGGGGAAGAGAGAGAGAGAGAGAGAAUGAGAGAGAGAGAGAGAGAGAAGAGAGCACGCACGAGCAAACUGGUUUGCAACAGCCCCUGACAAAUCCACUGGAGAAGUCAGCAGCAUCAAAUUCAGUUUUUUAUUUUUGAUUGCCAUUAGAACAAUCAAUUUUCAGAGGCUGGAAAAUAAACCUCAAAUCCAAAACACAACACAGCCUAGACAGAAAAAUAGAGAGAAAAGUGGAAAAAACUCCUAAGAACAAUCUCCCAGAUUUAAUGAGAGAGUUGCCCACAUCCUCAUCACCCCAGGAUGGUAAUUGAGCAGAUCUAUUAACUUGUUACACUAGAUUUGUUUAAAGAGACUAUUACACAGUCAUUUAAUCAAUUUGUUACACUGGAGGUCCUGACUUAUGAGACACUUGCCUUAUGAUUCCUUAAUGACUGAAUUAAUUUGUUUUAAUAAAACCAACAUUGUGUACAAGUACAUUUCUAGAAAUGUAAUUUUGGAGACAGAACAGUCCAAUGCUUCAUCUGAUUAGGUCCUUUCUAUAGUUUAUCAAAGUCUGUAGUUUCUGACAUAGCUGCUUGUAUGGAGUAUUUUUCUUUUUUAUAGCGUCAUUAAUUUAAUAUGGAUCAUUAGUUCUUUAUACACAUGCAUGUUCUGACAAAUGUACCCAAUGAAUAAUGCAGCUAAUGUGCUUAGGCCCAAAUGCAUCACAUCAUAAACAGAGACCUCUGCAAAAAUAACAACAAUGAAAUGAAACACUACCUCCAGUCACCAUGGUCAUCAUCAGGGUAGCAUUCCAAGUUAUAUUUAAGUCUUGUUUUGUAGAGCAAGACGUGUUUGGCCCUAGGAUUAUAUCAACAUAACCAACUGGGUCUAACUAUGUAGUGAACACAAAUAGAUUUAUGGAGAAUUAAGGUUGCCUUGAAAGCAGAUGCAGGACAAGAAAAUUGGUUUUGCUCUUGAUGGAAGCUGACGUGUGUGGAAUAAAAUGUAAAUAAACAGAGAGUCCCCAAGAAAAGCGACUUGAUGUUAUUGAUUAUGUAAAAUAAUUAGGACAUUACAAAUGAUAAUGCACUACAGAUUGUUGGCAUGUAUAGCUUGAUUUUUUUUUUUUUUCCGAAGAAAUGGUGUAGGCUCUGAAACACCACUUGAAGAAUGGGCCAUGAUGUGGGACAAUAAAAAAUUAGUACUGGAGUGAUUGGAAUGAUCAGCUUCUAACCAAUAACUGAUAUAAAUGAUAACUGAAUGAGCCCGCUACAGAGGUAAACAUUUGAACUUAGAGGAAUAGAAGGAGGAGUGGUGGUCCUACAUGAUCACUGGAGGCAUAAAGUGGCUCUGCGUAAUGUGGGUAACUAUGCACAGAAGCCAAAUAUUGACUAAAUAGCUCAACAAUUAUUACAGGGGAGAGGGAGAUGCUGGAUAUAUUUUCAAUAAGGAGGUGCCUUAUAAAUCUUCCUUAACAAUGCUGGGCAGGCAGGCAUUUGAACUUGAUUUCAUUUUGAAUAAAGACUCCAGACUGCACACAUAUUAUCAGUAUAUUUGAAUGCUUUCAUGCUUUCCUUUUGCUGUCCCUUUCAAACAGAAAUGGAUGUGAAAGUUGAUGAACAGAAUUUGUAAAUAAAAAGAGAUGGCUACUUCUGCUGUAUCAGAAGUAAUAAUUCUUACAUAGCAAUGAAAGUCAACUUACAGUUAUAUGAAUAGAAAGAAAUCUGCUAUACUAAUGGUCUGAAAAAAGCUCACCAAGAUUUCAAUAAGAGGCACAAAAAUCAGAUGAAGUUGUAUUUAUUGGUUAUGGCUAAAACAAUGUAAUGUUAUUCUUAGUUGGGAUUCUCUUUUGAAACCGAU
rnacentral:lncRNA from 1 species